AUUGAACGCUGGCGGCAUGCCUUACACAUGCAAGUCGAACGGCAGCACGGGAGCAAUCCUGGUGGCGAGUGGCGAACGGGUGAGUAAUAUAUCGGAACGUGCCCAGUCGUGGGGGAUAACGUAGCGAAAGCUACGCUAAUACCGCAUACGAUCUAUGGAUGAAAGCGGGGGAUCGCAAGACCUCGCGCGAUUGGAGCGGCCGAUAUCAGAUUAGGUAGUUGGUGAGGUAAAGGCUCACCAAGCCGACGAUCUGUAGCUGGUCUGAGAGGACGACCAGCCACACUGGGACUGAGACACGGCCCAGAC
rnacentral:rRNA from 1 species